AAAUCACCAUGCCAAGGGUGGUGAUCCAAGCCUAUAAAUAGGCACUCCAAUCAUGUAAUUGAUCAUCCAAGAAAUCAAUAACAUUUUCUCCUAUAAGCUCUUAGUUCAUAUUCCAAAUUUCCUUCAUCACACAAUUAUUCUAACUUUCUUUUAACCAAGCUUCUAAUACUACUCUAUAGCAACCUUUCAACUAAUAACAGUGGCAUCAGAGCU
rnacentral:lncRNA from 1 species